GAAUAUUAGUCAAUGCUCGAAAGAGUGAACUAGCUAACUGAAAUCAAUUAAAUAAUUGAUAACAUAAGGGAAAAUAAUGAUAUUACCUUAUUAUUAGUGUCGUCCAAAACUGGUGCCAGAAGACUCGGUAAGGCCAGAGACACAAACGUUAAUCGUCUUAAUCAGGCGUAAAGGGUUUGUAGGCGGCUUUAAAAUUUACUAACAAAUAAAUAAAUAAAAAGUAAAGAAUAAAAGCUAGAAUCAAAUAGAGGAUAUAUGAAAUAAUGUUUAGAGUAGGUCUGAUAUCCUUAGAUACUAAGUAGAAUAUUAAAGGCGAAAGCUUUUUUCCAUUAAUGAUUGACGCUCAGAAACGAAAGUGAGGAUAGGAAAUAGGAUUUGAUACCCAAAAUACCCCUCUCUGUCAACGAUGAAUGGUAAUUUAUUAGUAUAAUUAUUAAUAAUAAUGUUAACACGAUAACCAUUCCGCCUUGUGAGUACAACUGCAAAGUUGAAAACAAAAAAAUUAGUCGGUUUCGGAGCAAACGAAGUGAAGCAUGUUAUUUAAUUC
rnacentral:rRNA from 1 species